UUAAGAUAUCAAGCCAAUAAGGGUACAUGGUGGAUGUCUUGGCGCUGAGAGGCGAUGAAGGACGUGGAAGACUGCGAUAAGCUUCGGGGAGCUGCCAAACAAGCUUUGAUCCGGAGAUUUCCGAAUGGGGCAACCUACUAUAGGUUUAUGCUAUAGUAUCUACACCUGAAUAUAUAGGGUGUAGAGGCGAACGGAGAGAAGUGAAACAUCUUAGUAACUCCAGGAAAAGAAAGAGAAUUCGAUUUCCUUAGUAGCGGCGAGCGAAAAGGAAGAAGCCUAAACCAGCUAUGUGUCAAGCCCUUGUCGUUGCAUAGUUGGGGUCGUGGGUGUUGCGGUGGCAGUACAAGGACUGCCUGUGAAGUUACAAAUGUAAUUUUUAGCUGAAUAGUACUGGAAAGAAUAACCAUAGAAGGGGAUAGUCCUGUAAGCGAAAAGAAUUACACUUCUAGCGUAAUUACCCGAGUAACACCCGUCUCGUGGAAGCGGGUGUGAAUUUAGGGAGUCCACUCUCUAAGGCUAAAUACUACUCAGCGACCGAUAGCGUACAAGUAGCGCGAGCGAAAGAUGAAAAGAACCCCUGUUAGGGGAAUGAAAUAGAACCUGAAACCGUGUACUUACGAGCGGUGGGAGCACUAUGAUUCUUUAAUAGAAUAAUGUGUGACCGCGUGCCUUUUGCAUAAUGAACCGGCGACUUAUUGUGUAUUGCAGGUUAAGUCUUUAUGGGACGAAGCCACAGCGAAAGCGAGUGUGAAAGCGCGAACUAUAUGUAGUACAUAAUAGACCCGAAACCAUGUGAUCUACCCUUGGUCAGGAUGAAGCGAAUGUAAAAAUUCGUGGAGGUCCGAACGCACUUGCGUUGAAAAGCGAGGCGAUGAACUGAGGGGAGGAGUAAAAGUCUAAUCAAACUUGGUGAUAGCUGGUUCUCUCCGAAAUAGCUUUAGGGCUAGCCUUAUGGCGUGAAUAUGAUGGGGGUAGAGAUACUGAAUAGAUUCUGGGGCCUACCAGGCUACCAAGUCCAAUCAAACUCCGAAUACCAUUAUAUAAGUCAUAGGAGACAGACAUUGGGGGAUAAGCUUCAUUGUCAAAAGGGAAACAGCCCAGACCGACAGCUAAGGUCCCUAAAAUAGACUAAGUGAUAAAGGAAGUGAGAGUGCAAAGACAGUUAGGAUGUUGGCUUAGAAGCAGCAAUCAUUUAAAAAGUGCGUAAUAGCUUACUAACCGAGCAUUCUUGCGCCGAAAAUAUUACGGGACUAAGUUUAUUACCGAAGCUUCGGAUUGUUCGAAUUAUUUAUAAUUUGAACAGUGGUAGGAGAGCGUUCUAUGUUAGGUUGAAGAGAGACUGUAAAGACUCUUGGACGAUAUAGAAGUGAUUAUGCCGGUAUAAGUAGCGAUAAUAUAAGUGAGAAUCUUAUUCGCCGUAAGCCUAAGGUUUCCUGGGGAAGGUAAAUCCGCCCAGGGUUAGCCGGAGCCUAAGUCGAGGCUGAAAGGCGUAGACGAUGGACAACAGGUUAAUAUUCCUGUGCUACCAUAAUAGCGUUGAACAUGGGGGGACAGAGGUGUAAAGGUUAGCAAGCCUAAUAGACACGGUUUGUUCAAGCCGGAGAUGUUAUUCCAGGAAAAUCCGGAAUGCUAAAACAUCGACGGUGAGUACGUUGGCGUAAGUCUAUAAGUAACCGGAGCAUCUCUCAAGAAAAGCCUCGAUUGUGAGUUAUUGUGGUAUCCGUACUAAAACUGACACAGGUAGGCAGGGAGAGAAUCCUAAGGCGCUCGAGAGAACCCUCGUUAAGGAACUCGGCAAAAUUACUCCGUAACUACGGGAGAAGGAGUGCCUCAAGUAAAAUUGAGGCCACAGUAAAAAGACCCGGGCGACUGUUUACUAAAAACACAGGUCUCUGCUAAGAUUUAAAAUCAACGUAUAGAGACCGACGCGUGCUCGAUGCCAGAAAGUUAAGGGGAUGGGUUAGUGUUUGAAAAGAUGCGAAGCUCAGAACCGAAGCUCUGGUGAAUGGCGGCUCUAACUAUGAGAGUCCUAAGGUAGCGAAAUUCCUUGUC
rnacentral:rRNA from 1 species